rnacentral:rRNA from 1 species
UUUUGAUUGAUUCAAUUACCUUGCAGAAAUUUCCGGCGACUGAGACUAAUGGCCAGCCCUCGAUGAGCAGCACCCCGGUGGCCUCUGCUCCAGAAUCCUUUCUGCCCACAGCUACUCCAACCAUGCAAUUGCCAAGAACUGAGACUAAUGGCCAGCCGAGAAUGAGCAACACACCAGUGAAUAAUCAAGACAAACAAGAUGCAGAUAAUGCUCCAAGAGUUGGGAAGUGCUUUGAUCGCAGCGUCAACUCUUAGAUGCCAAUCGCCACAUGAUUAAGCAAAUGAGGACAUCGGGAAUUAAACAAGCCGAAAUGAACAUCUUUUGGACUGAUGGACAAGCUAUCAUGGACUAUUCUGUCUUUGGAGAAGCCCUUUCCUUUGACACCAAAUUUUCAACAAAUAAGUUUCAAAUGCCAUUUGCUCCGUUUAUUGGUGUUAAUCAUCACAAGCAGACUAUUCUUUUUGGUGCAGCACUACUAUCUAAUGAAUCUGCAGAUACCUUUGAGUGGGUUUUUAGAACCUUUCUACAAGCUAUGUCUGGUAAGCAGCCUGAAACAAUAUUCACCGAUCAAUGUGCCGCCAUUAUAAAUGCUAUUGGAAGGGUUUUCCCAAGAACACGACAUCGUCUUUGUUUAUGGCAUUUGUAUCAAAAUGCUGCAAAACAUCUAAGUCAAGUAAUCAGCGACAAUGAUAAUUUUCUUAAAGAAUUCAAAAGGUGUGUGUAUGAAGAUAGAUCACUGGCACAUUUUGAGAAUAGAUGGCAUGAGCUAUUGCUUAAGUAUCAGAUUGAGGAUAAUUCUUGGAUAAGCAAUCAUUACAAGUUGUGUGGGAAGUGGGCUACUAUCUAUCGCCGCGAUUCUUUUAGUGCAUAUAUGACAUCAACCCAAAGGAGUGAAGGAAUGAACAAUGUGUUCAAGAAAACUUUCCGCAAAAGGCUUUGUCUUUCUGAAUUGAUAGAAGCAUAUGAUAAGUGCAUUGCUCAUCUUCGCCGGAAAGAAAAAUAUGAAGACUACAAGUCACGCCAUACCAUUCCAGUACCCUGCCUACCAAACCUACCUUUGUUGAAGACUGCGGCUGAAUCAUAUACUGGGACACUCUAUUCCGAGUUUCAAGAGGAAUUCAAGAAGCAAUUCAGUUUAUCAUGUAUUUUCCUGAGCACCGAUGGCACUUACAAGUUACAAGGUGACAUCUUUCGAGUACAAGAAUGAUGAAGCCAUAGUGGCUUUCAACCCAGCUACUUUGGAGAUAUCUUGUUCAUGCAAAUUGUAUGGUUGUGUAGGUAUAUUGUGCAAGCACGCUCAUAAGGUUUUCACAUGCUGCAAUAUCAUCAUCCUGCCAAGUCAGUACAUAUCGAACAGAUGGACGAAGUAUGCAAAACAAGAAAUUUUUACAUCAAAACUGAAUUGCAAUGAUAGCUUAGAAUCCAUGUUUGCACAUACUUCUCGAAAGAUGAUUUCACUUGCAUUGAAGUGCAAAACAUCAAAGGAGGUUCUUACACAUCUCAACAAUGGUAUUGAUAAGUUGGCUUUGGAAGCACUAGAAUUACUUAGCAAUUUGAGCUAAUUGGCACAUUCACACACGGCGCAACUCGCAUGCAUGGGGUAGUAGUAAUAUUUUAUUACGAAGGUAUUGUGUAUGCAUGUAUAUUGGGCAUGUGGAUAGCAGGUAAUAUGUUUGUAUUGGAUGUUUUGUAAACAUAUACUAGUACUAGGGAGUAUGCAUGUUUGCCAGUACGACCUUGAAUUAUGGGU